UGGGUGUCCUGAUACUGUAAUGACUACC
rnacentral:piRNA from 1 species